rnacentral:lncRNA from 1 species
UUUAGGCAAAUAGCUCACAAGGAACCUUGAUUACAUUUCUGGAAUGAAAAUAUAACUGGAGUGUGGAGAUAAAUAAGGUCCAGUUCCGACGUCUGGGAUUUCGACUCUUCAGGCAAGAGGAGAGGAGAAAGAUGUUUGGCUUCUACGAAGUAAUUCACCGUCCAGAGCAUCUCGGCAUCUGGCUACUGCUGAGGAAAGAGGAGAAUGUUUUCAGAACAAGAAAAAUCUCACCUGGGGAUCAUACUGUAGGAACUUCAUCCAGGAACCUUAUCUUUUUGUAUGGUUAUGUGCUUUCAUUUCUCUUAGGUAAAUACCUACGAGUAGAAUGGCUGGAUCAUAUUGUGUGUGUGUGUGUGUAACUUUUUAAGAAACUGCCACCUGUUUUCCAUUGAAUUUGCUUUGGAUAAUGAGAUCCUAGACCUCAAGCCUGAGUCCAAAAACCACCAUGGAAAGAGACUUUGGUUUUCUUUUAGGAAGAAGUAUAUUUUGCAUGUGGGAGGAAUGAAAAUUCCUGUGGCUAGAGGACUGUGUCAAACUGUGGUUUCCAAAACAAAAAGUCUUUAGUAAUAUUUACAUUCCAUGUGCUCUUCCAGAACUUGCCACUCCCCAGCAAGAGACAGAGUGUAUGUCUUCUCCUCUUGAAACUGGGUGCGCUUUUGUGACUAUCUCAA